ensembl:lncRNA
CACACUUCCUUUCUCCUGUCACAUACAUCACUGUCUAAGUAUUUUGCCUACUUAUUUGCUUAUUGUCUGUCUCCCCACUGGAACCGAAGAUCCUUGAGGGCAGGGUCUUCUCUGUUUGGGUCCCUGCUGGAUCCCAGCGCCCAGGACCAUGCUGGCCUCCCGCGGGUGCCCAGCACACUCUUGCAGGAACAGCUGUCGUGUGAGAUGGGCAGAGUCUGAGACCCACUUCACACGUAAGGUUUCGGAAGCCCCAUGGCUCCUCUGAAGAUCUGCUCUGUAUCAUCCCCAAAUCCUCAUUUGACAAGGUAGAUGCUCUUUUGGAUGGAAGAGGAAGCUGCACUAAGAGUUUCUAGAAGUUUACCUCUGCAGCAACAUUUGGCCCACCAAAGAAAGGCUACCAACGUGAAGACUCUGAACUCAGAGCUGGGAAGAGAUGCACCCACAAGCAUGAACUGACGCAGCUCCGCGGGAGCAGAGCCGGGAAAGGAACCUAGAUUCAGGACUCUGCCCACUGCGCCAGACCACACCUCGCUGUCCUCUUAGCAGAAAUCAUGACCACGCAGUUCAGGGCUGAGCCCCACACUCUGGUGCUUUUGACCACAGCCAGAACGAAAUCAGAAAUCAGACUGAGUCCUUAGGAAUGUGGUAUGACUGGGGAAGCACCUGAGGGCCCAAGCCCCUGCACUUGUGUCCUUUGAGGGGAAAGUGGAAGAGGUGAGAGAAUGAUUCUGAGAACUAUGGGUGGAGUCUUGGCAAACUUCAGAGGCCAAAGAGAAGACAUUUAUGCCAGCUGGCCUUGGACGAUUGUAACCAGAAACGCUGUGGUGGUAUUGUGAUUGGGUGGAAGGCAGAGUGAGGUCAUGCUGGGAGAAGUGGGACAAAGAGGAGGGCAUGCUUCAUCUUUUUUGCAUUUCCUUCAGGGCUAACUUAAGAAAACAGCAAAAAUUAAGUUCACAUGAAAAUCACUUUAAAAAACAAAAGAAGUAUCUGCUAAGAGCCUCCAAAACUCUGGGAUUCUAGAGACAGCUGUUGUUUGGAGACGUUCCCUUGCAAGGAGUUCAGGCCUCUGCUGGUCCUUCCUUGUUCAGCACUCCAGUUCACAGAAUCAUAAAAUUAUAGGGUUUAUUUUAGAGAUGAGAAAAACCUGAGGCCCAGAGAGGUGACAUAAUUUGCCCAAGAUUGCGCCACUAUUUAUUAGGUCAGCAGCAGCUAGAAUUCAAAUUUCCUAGGUCUAGUCUAGCCUUGGAUCUUAAUGUAGAUCCCUAGACAUUAAAAAGUAUGUCUCUAAGUUAUCUUUUGUUAAAAAUUAUUGUAAUAGAAAUGCAUGGCUAUAAUAGAAAAUCUGUAAGGUAUAGAACAUUAAAAAAUGACAAUAAAAAUGACCAUUACGGGGCCAGCCCCUCGGUGUAGUGCUUGGGCUUGGCAUGCUCUGCUUUGGCAGCCCAGGUUCUCAAGUUCAGAUCCCAGACGCAGACCUACACUGCUCGUCAGCCAUGCUGUGGCGGUGACCCACAUAUAAAGUGGAAGAAGAUUGGCACAGGUCUAAUCUUCCUCAGCAAAAAGAAAAAAGAAAAGAAAAGAAAAAAGACCAUUAUGCUGCCACUCAAUCACUGUGAAUCAUGUAUGCUUGCUCCCACCUAGACCAGUGGUUCUCAGCCUCACUGCAUAGUAGUGUCAUCAGGAGGCCUUGUAAAAAUCUCUAUGAAGGGUUGAAAAAUCCCAAUGUCCAGGUUGUACUCCUAAGGAAUUAGAUGAGAAUCUUGGGGUUGGGGGCAGCAAGCAUCAGUAUUAUUUGAAGCUCCUCAGAUGAUGCAAGUGUGCGCCCAAGGUUGAAGACCACUGGACUAGAAUAUUCUCCUCCCAUAUCUUUGCAUAGCUGGCUCCUUCCCAUUGGUCACUUCUCAGUGUUAGCUCCUCAGAGUGGCCUGUCCUCACCACUGCUCCUAAAGCAGUUCCCUCCCAUCCAGUCAUCCUCGAUCCCGACCCUUUUUGAUGUUCUUUGUGGUCUGUAUCAUUAUUUGAAAUUAUCUUAAAUGGAUGCAGGUAUCUGUUUGUUUUCCAUCUCCCUCCUUUAGCAAGUAAGUCCACGGAGGUGGGCCCCUUAACUGUCUUCUUCAUAGCUGUAACCCAAUGCCCUUGCAGUCCCAGGAGCUGGAGGCCCCCGAAACGCAUUUGAUGAAUGAGUGAACGGAUUUAUGGUUACUUCUUCAUCUUUCUUCAUGUGUAUGUAAACAUAUGCAUAUACUUAUAUAUACACAUACACAUGCAACAAAAUUGUGUGUUUUAAAAAUAUAUUUCAGGGACUGGCCUGGUGGUGUAGUGGUUGGGUUCGUGUGCUCCCUUCAGCCGCCCAGGGUUCUCAGGUUCCCAGGCACAGACUUGCACAACGCUCAUCAAGCCAUACUGUGGCGGUGUCCCACAUACAAAAAAGUAGGUGGCAUAGAUGUUAGCUCAGGGACAGUCUUCCUCAAGCAAAAAGAGGAAGAUCGGCAACAGUUGUUAGCUCAGGGCCAAUCUUCUUCACCAGAAAAAAAAUGUAUAUAUAUAAAUAUGUAUACUUCAGAGCCAGCCUUGAUGAUCUAGUGGUUAAAGUUCGGCGUUCUCAUUGUUUUGAUGUCUGGGGUUUGUUUCCUGGUCAUGGAACCACACCACCCGUCUGUUGGUUGCCAUGCUGUGGCAGCAGCUCACAAAGAAGAACUAGAAGGACUUACAACUAGGAUAUACAACCAUGCACUGGGCCUUUGGGGAGAGAAAAAAAAAGAGGAUUGGCAACAGACGUUAGCUUAGGG